rnacentral:rRNA from 1 species
CGGGGGCCCGCACAAGCGGUGGAGCAUGUGGUUUAAUUCGAUGCAACGCGAAGAACCUUACCUGGUCUUGACAUCCACGGAAGUUUUCAGAGAUGAGAAUGUGCCUUCGGGAACCGUGAGACAGGUGCUGCAUGGCUGUCGUCAGCUCGUGUUGUGAAAUGUUGGGUUAAGUCCCGCAACGAGCGCAACCCUUAUCCUUUGUUGCCAGCGGUCCGGCCGGGAACUCAAAGGAGACUGCCAGUGAUAAACUGGAGGAAGGUGGGGAUGACGUCAAGUCAUCAUGGCCCUUACGACCAGGGCUACACACGUGCUACAAUGGCGCAUACAAAGAGAAGCGACCUCGCGAGAGCAAGCGGACCUCAUAAAGUGCGUCGUAGUCCGGAUUGGAGUCUGCAACUCGACUCCAUGAAGUCGGAAUCGCUAGUAAUCGUGGAUCAGAAUGCCACGGUGAAUACGUUCCCGGGCCUUGUACACACCGCCCGUCACACCAUGGGAGUGGGUUGCAAAAGAAGUAGGUAGCUUAACCUUCGGGAGGGCGCUUACCACUUUGUGAUUCAUGACUGGGGUGAAGUCGUAACAAGGUAACCGUAGGGGAACCUGCGGUUGGAUCACCUCCUUA